rnacentral:rRNA from 1 species
AGUUGUAUCCUGGCUCAGGAUGAACGCUAGCGGCAGGCUUAACACAUGCAAGUCGAACGGUAAGGCCCUGCUUGCAGGGUACACGAGUGGCGCACGGGUGCGUAACGCGUAUGCAACCUACCUUUAACAUUGAGAUAGCCCUGAGAAAUUGGGAUUAAUAUCGAAUAAUAAUAUAUUACAGCAUUGUAUAAUAUUUAAAGUUCCGACGGUUAAAGAUGGGCAUGCGUAACAUUAGCUAGAUGGUAAGGUAACGGCUUACCAUGGCUACGAUGUUUAGGGGUUCUGAGAGGAUUAUCCCCCACACUGGUACUGAGACACGGACCAGACUCCUACGGGAGGCAGCAGUGAGGAAUAUUGGGCAAUGGACGCAAGUCUGACCCAGCCAUGCCGCGUGCAGGAAGACUGCCCUAUGGGUUGUAAACUGCUUUUAUAUACCAAGAAACCCCAUCACGUGUGAUGGCUUGACGGUAGUAUAUGAAUAAGGACCGGCUAACUCCGUGCCAGCAGCCGCGGUAAUACGGAGGGUCCGAGCGUUAUCCGGAUUUAUUGGGUUUAAAGGGUGCGCAGGUGGUACAAUAAGUCAGUGGUGAAAUCCCGAGGCUCAACCUCGGAACUGCCAUUGAUACUGUAGUACUCGAGUAUAGACGAAGUAGGCGGAAUGUAGCAUGUAGCGGUGAAAUGCUUAGAUAUGCUACAGAACACCGAUUGCGAAGGCAGCUUACUAGGCUAUUACUGACGCUNAUGCACGAAAGCGUGGGUAGCGAACAGGAUUAGAUACCCUGGUAGUCCACGCCGUAAACUAUGAUCACUCGAUGUUGGCGAUAUAUUGUCAGUGUCUAAGGGAAACCCGAUAAGUGAUCCACCUGGGGAGUACGAUCGCANGGUUGAANCUCAAAGGAAUUGAC